rnacentral:sRNA from 1 species
CGUUUUAAAAACUGUAUCGUGACUCCUUUAAAGUUGUUAGCUGUUUCCCCCCAUUGUUUUCAUCCCAUACACAAAUGUCUGUCUCGUGUCCCCUUUAGGUGUGCUGCAACGGCACUAGAGUGUUUGUGCAAAAGGAAAUUGCUGACGCAUUUACAAAGGAAGUUGUGAGGCAGACUCAGAGGAUAAAGAUUGGGGACCCACUUCUGGAAGAUACAAGGAUGGGCCCACUCAUCAAUGCCCCGCACCUGGAGCGAGUCCUCGGGUUUGUCAGGUCUGCAAAGGAGCAGGGUGCCACUGUGCUGUGUGGUGGAGAGCCGUAUGCCCCGGAGGAUCCUAAGUUAAAACAUGGAUAUUACAUGACACCUUGCAUUUUAAGUAUGUCUUGUUCGCUUUUAAUUGGCUUGGAUUAAACACUAAGUAGCUAUAAAUGGAUAUUUAUAACAUAUGCAGUGGCUUAGAGUAAGGUUUGGCAGUUUGAAUGACCCCACUACCCAGGCUUGUGAAGUACUUUGUUACUCUUGAAGCCCCUGGUGCCCCUACACUAGGGCAGCCAUAUGUAUUGGUUUGCUGGAGACCACUGUUCUGGGAACAAGCUAAAAACAGAAAAAAAAAAA